CUUCUGGAAGCUGGUUUCACAUGGUGGCUUAGAUUUUUCGAUCUUUGUAUCUAGCACCAUUUGAAAUCAGUGUUUUAGGAG
rnacentral:pre_miRNA from 3 species